GAUGAACGCUGGCGGCGCGCCUAACACAUGCAAGUCGAACGAUUAAAGCACCUUCGGGUGUGUAUAAAGUGGCGAACGGCUGAGUAACACGUGGGCAACCUGCCCCUUUCAUUGGGAUAGCCACGGGAAACCGUGGAUAAUACCGAAUACUUCGAGACUUCCGCAUGGAAGACUCGAGAAAGCUCCGGCGGAGAGGGAUGGGCCCGCGGCCUGUUAGCUUGUUGGUGGGGUAACGGCCUACCAAGGCAAUGAUGGGUAGCUGGGUUGAGAGACCGACCAGCCAGAUUGGGACUGAGACACGGCCCAGACUCCUACGGGAGGCAGCAGUGGGGAAUCUUGCACAAUGGGCGAAAGCCUGAUGCAGCGACGCCGCGUGCGGGAUGAAGGCCUUCGGGUUGUAAACCGCUUUCAGCAGGGACGAGGCUAAAGUGACGGUACCUGCAGAAGAAGCCCCGGCUAACUACGUG
rnacentral:rRNA from 1 species